rnacentral:rRNA from 1 species
AGAGUUUGAUCCUGGCUCAGGAUGAACGCUGGCGGCGUGCUUAACACAUGCAAGUCGAACGAAGCAUUUGCGACAGAUUUUUUUCGGAUUGAAGUUGCUUAUGACUGAGUGGCGGACGGGUGAGUAACGCGUGGGUAACCUGCCUCACACAGGGGGAUAGCAGUUGGAAACGGCUGAUGAUACCGCAUAAGCGCACAGUACCGCAUGGUACAGUGUGAAAAACUCCGGUGGUGUGAGAUGGACCCGCGUCUGAUUAGCUUGUUGGCAGGGUAACGGCCUACCAAGGCAACGAUCAGUAGCCGACCUGAGAGGGUGACCGGCCACAUUGGGACUGAGACACGGCCCAGACUCCUACGGGAGGCAGCAGUGGGGAAUAUUGCACAAUGGAGGAAACUCUGAUGCAGCGACGCCGCGUGAGUGAAGAAGUAAUUCGUUAUGUAAAGCUCUAUCAGCAGGGAAGAUAGUGACGGUACCUGACUAAGAAGCUCCGGCUAAAUACGUGCCAGCAGCCGCGGUAAUACGUGUGGAGCAAGCGUUAUCCGGAUUUACUGGGUGUAAAGGGAGUGUAGGUGGCAUCACAAGUCAGAAGUGAAAGCCCGGGGCUCAACCCCGGGACUGCUUUUGAAACUGUGGAGCUGGAGUGCAGGAGAGGCAAGUGGAAUUCCUAGUGUAGCGGUGAAAUGCGUAGAUAUUAGGAGGAACACCAGUGGCGAAGGCGGCUUGCUGGACUGUAACUGACACUGAGGCUCGAAAGCGUGGGGAGCAAACAGGAUUAGAUACCCUGGUAGUCCACGCCGUAAACGAUGAUUACUAGGUGUUGGAGGAUUGACCCCUUCAGUGCCGCAGUUAACACAAUAAGUAAUCCACCUGGGGAGUACGACCGCAAGGUUGAAACUCAAAGGAAUUGACGGGGGCCCGCACAAGCAGUGGAGUAUGUGGUUUAAUUCGACGCAACGCGAAGAACCUUACCAAGUCUUGACAUCCCUUGACGAUGCUGGAAACAGUAUUUCUCUUCGGAGCAAGGAGACAGGUGGUGCAUGGUUGUCGUCAGCUCGUGUCGUGAGAUGUUGGGUUAAGUCCCGCAACGAGCGCAACCCUUAUGGUCAGUUACUACGCAAGAGGACUCUGGCCAGACUGCCGUUGACAAAACGGAGGAAGGUGGGGAUGACGUCAAAUCAUCAUGCCCUUUAUGACUUGGGCUACACACGUACUACAAUGGCGUUAAACAAAGAGAAGCAAGACCGCGAGGUGGAGCAAAACUCAGAAACAACGUCCCAGUUCGGACUGCAGGCUGCAACUCGCCUGCACGAAGUCGGAAUUGCUAGUAAUCGUGGAUCAGCAUGCCACGGUGAAUACGUUCCCGGGCCUUGCACACACCGCCC